GUGGGGAAUCUUAGACAAUGGGGGAAACCCUGAUCUAGCCAUGCCGCGUGAGCGAUGAAGGCCUUAGGGUUGUAAAGCUCUUUCAGCUGGGAAGAUAAUGACGGUACCAGCAGAAGAAGCCCCGGCUAACUCCGUGCCAGCAGCCGCGGUAAUACGGAGGGGGCUAGCGUUGUUCGGAAUUACUGGGCGUAAAGCGCGCGUAGGCGGACCAGAAAGUUGGAGGUGAAAUCCCAGGGCUCAACCUUGGAACUGCCUUCAAAACUCCUGGUCUGGAGUUCGAGAGAGGUGAGUGGAAUUCCGAGUGUAGAGGUGAAAUUCGUAGAUAUUCGGAGGAACACCAGUGGCGAAGGCGGCUCACUGGCUCGAUACUGACGCUGAGGUGCGAAAGCAUGGGGAGCAAACAGGAUUAGAAACCCCUGUAGUCC
rnacentral:rRNA from 1 species